rnacentral:hammerhead_ribozyme from 1 species
AUCCAGCUGACGAGUCCCAAAACACGACGAAACGCGCGUCCUGGAU